GGAGACCAAGGCACAUCUAGGAAAGCGCACAGCUGUCUUCCCUAGAGGUAACCAGAAAAAGCCAGAGAUGUGCCCUUAUUUACCUACUCUAAGCUGGUGGUCAUGAAUUUCUAUCAAUGUGGGGUUGUACGUUCUGCUAGGAGAGUGAAAAGAAUGAGCAGCACACACUCAGCACUGAGGAAGGAAAUGUUCAUCUGGAGAAGACAGGCCCAAG
rnacentral:lncRNA from 1 species